rnacentral:tRNA from 1 species
GCCUGGGUGGCUCAGUUGGUUAAGUGUCUGACUUUGGCUCAGGUCAUGAUCUCAUGGUUCAUGGGUUCAAGCCCUGCUUCAGGCU